GUGUGUUGUAAGGGCAACGUCGGCAUUCCACCUCUGAGAUUGCAUGUUGUGAGAUUUUGAUAUUUUCAUCUUUUGUGUCAGAGUGUUUUGGCGCCAAUUUGAAGGAAAGUGAAGGCGACUCCUAUUGAAAAAAUGAAGAAUUUACCCAUCGUUUAUCAAAAUGCAUGACACCACAAUGUGAACAAUCGAAAUGAUAAGGGUGCCAUUUGAGAAAAUUGACAUUUGGGAAAUCUUGCGCUUUUGUCUCCCUCUGACUUUGAGGCCUGUCGUGGCACAAAAGUACCUGGUUUGGUGAUGUCUUCAGGAAUAGUGGACCACUGUUUGUGGCAUACCCUCUUCCACAGUAUGGACUACAUUUCUGGGCCCUUGGGACUUGCAUUCGCAAGUGAGGGCGACCCAAUUUCCGUGAGCUGAAAGUGUGAUGGAUGACUCGACCAAGAAAUGUCGGGGAUGGGUUUGGCAUCGUAGUAAUGUACAUCUUCUGGCUAAAACUUUGGCUCUAUUCAAUAUGCUUUCAUAAAGAGCA